GAUGAACGCUGGCGGCGUGCCUAAUACAUGCAAGUCGAGCGAACAGACGAGGAGCUUGCUCCUCUGACGUUAGCGGCGGACGGGUGAGUAACACGUGGAUAACCUACCUAUAAGACUGGGAUAACUUCGGGAAACCGGAGCUAAUACCGGAUAAUAUAUUGAACCGCAUGGUUCAAUAGUGAAAGACGGUUUUGCUGUCACUUAUAGAUGGAUCCGCGCCGCAUUAGCUAGUUGGUAAGGUAACGGCUUACCAAGGCAACGAUGCGUAGCCGACCUGAGAGGAUGAUCGGCCACACUGGAACUGAGACACGGUCCAGACUCCUACGGGAGGCAGCAGUAGGGAAUCUUCCGCAAUGGGCGAAAGCCUGACGGAGCAACGCCGCGUGAGUGAUGAAGGUCUUCGGAUCGUAAAGCUCUGUUAUUAGGGAAGAACAAAUGUGUAAGUAACUAUGCACGUCUUGACGGUACCUAAACAGAAAGCCACGGCUAACUACGUG
rnacentral:rRNA from 1 species